rnacentral:piRNA from 1 species
AGGGGCUGGAGAGAUGGCUCAGGAGUUAA